rnacentral:rRNA from 1 species
GACGAACGCUGGCGGCGUGCUUAACACAUGCAAGUCGAACGGAAAGGCCCUGCUUUUGUGGGGUGCUCGAGUGGCGAACGGGUGAGUAACACGUGAGUAACCUGCCCUUGACUUUGGGAUAACUUCAGGAAACUGGGGCUAAUACCGGAUAGGAGCUCCUGCUGCAUGGUGGGGGUUGGAAAGUUUCGGCGGUUGGGGAUGGACUCGCGGCUUAUCAGCUUGUUGGUGGGGUAGUGGCUUACCAAGGCUUUGACGGGUAGCCGGCCUGAGAGGGUGACCGGCCACAUUGGGACUGAGAUACGACCCAGACUCCUACGGGAGGCAGCAGUGGGAAAUAUUGCACGAUGGGCGGAAGCCUGAUGCAGCAACGCCGCGUGCGGGAGGACGGCCUUCGGGUUAUAACCCGCUUUCGCCUGUGACGAAGCGUGAGUGACGGUAAUGGGUAAAGAAGCACCGGCUAACUACGUG